rnacentral:rRNA from 1 species
CGGCCGCGGAAUUCGAUUAGAGUUUGAUCAUGGCUCAGAUUGAACGCUGGCGGCAGGCCUAACACAUGCAAGUCGAGCGGUAGAGAGAAGCUUGCUUCUCUUGAGAGCGGCGGACGGGUGAGUAAUGCCUAGGAAUCUGCCUGGUAGUGGGGGAUAACGUUCGGAAACGGACGCUAAUACCGCAUACGUCCUACGGGAGAAAGCAGGGGACCUUCGGGCCUUGCGCUAUCAGAUGAGCCUAGGUCGGAUUAGCUAGUUGGUGGGGUAAUGGCUCACCAAGGCGACGAUCCGUAACUGGUCUGAGAGGAUGAUCAGUCACACUGGAACUGAGACACGGUCCAGACUCCUACGGGAGGCAGCAGUGGGGAAUAUUGGACAAUGGGCGAAAGCCUGAUCCAGCCAUGCCGCGUGUGUGAAGAAGGUCUUCGGAUUGUAAAGCACUUUAAGUUGGGAGGAAGGGCAGUAAAUUAAUACUUUGCUGUUUUGACGUUACCGACAGAAUAAGCACCGGCUAACUCUGUGCCAGCAGCCGCGGUAAUACGAAUCACUAGUGAAUUCGCGGCCGCCUGCAGGUCGACCAUAUGGGAGAGCUCCCA